rnacentral:SRP_RNA from 2 species
AUGUAGAAUAGACCGGGGUGGUAGGCGUUCCCUGUAACCAGAAACCGCCUUUAUGCUGGGGUUGAAUCAAUAGGGCGAUGUAACGCGCAUCUUGUGAUCCAAUCAUUGACGAUGAGACCUUGUCCUUUGGGAUCGGGGGUGAUGAUCUCAUAUAACCGGAGGGUUAUAUGACCAUCUUUGUUGCGGAAACCGGGUGAGGCACGGAAGUGAGCAACCUUACCGCAAACUACCGAUGCUCAUUGGGUUUACGGGGUUGAGAAAGUGGUUGGGCAGUCACUUGUAUGAAACGUGCAUCCACCUUGCGGUUUCUACAU